CAAUACGUUUGUAAAGCGGCGAACGGGUGAGGAAUACAUGGGUAACCUACCCUCGAGUGGGGAAUAACUAGCCGAAAGGUUAGCUAAUACCGCGUACGCUUCUUGGACUUCGGUUCAGGGAGGAAAGCGAUACCGUGGGUAUCGCGCUCUUGGAUGGGCUCAUGUCCUAUCAGCUUGUUGGUGAGGUAACGGCUCACCAAGGCUUCGACGGGUAGCUGGUCUGAGAGGACGAUCAGCCACACUGGCACUGCGACACGGGCCAGACUCCUACGGGAGGCAGCAGUAAGGAAUAUUGCGCAAUGGGCGAAAGCCUGACGCAGCGACGCCGCGUGGGGGAUGAAGGUCUUCGGAUUGUAAACCCCUUUCGGGAGGGAAGAUGGAAUGGGGUAACCCAUUCGGACGGUACCUCCAGAAGCAGCCACGGCUAACUUCGUGCCAGCAGCCGCGGUAAUACGAAGGUGGCAAGCGUUAUUCGGAUUUACUGGGCGUACAGGGAGCGUAGGCGGUUCGGUAAGCCCUUUGUGAAAUCUCCAGGCUUAACCUGGAACAGUCGGAGGGGACUGCCGGGCUAGAGGACGGGAGAGGAGCGCGGAAUUCCCGGUGUAGCGGUGAAAUGCGUAGAGAUCGGGAGGAAGGCCGGUGGCGAAGGCGGCGCUCUGGAACGUUUCUGACGCUGAGGCUCGAAAGCGUGGGGAGCAAACAGGAUUAGAUACCCUGGUAGUCCACGCCUUAAACUAUGAAUACUAAGUGUCGGCGGGUUACCGCCGGUGCCGCAGCUAACGCAUUAAGUAUUCCGCCUGGGAAGUAC
rnacentral:rRNA from 1 species